rnacentral:rRNA from 1 species
GAUCCUGGCUCAGGAUGAACGCUAGCUACAGGCUUAACACAUGCAAGUCGAGGGGCAGCAUGAUUGAAGCUUGCUUCAAUCGAUGGCGACCGGCGCACGGGUGAGUAACACGUAUCCAACCUGCCGAUAACUCGGGGAUAGCCUUUCGAAAGAAAGAUUAAUACCCGAUAGCAUAGUUUCCCCGCAUGGGGUUACUAUUAAAGGAUUCCGGUUAUCGAUGGGGAUGCGUUCCAUUAGGCGAG